UUAAGUUCAGCGGGUAGUCCUACCUGAUUUGAGGUCAAAUUUCAAAGAAAAGUUGUUGAAAGCGAUGGCAUAGAUAAUUAUCAAACCAAAGCCUUACAACAAAAGCUAAUGCAUUUAAGAGGAGCCGACAUUGAAAAAGCCAGCAACACUCCACAUCCAAGCCUCUUUUAAAGAGGUUGAUAAUUUAAUGACACUCAAAC
rnacentral:misc_RNA from 1 species